rnacentral:snRNA from 1 species
AUCCUCACUUCAGCAAUACAUAUACUAAAAUUGGAACAAGACAAGGAUGAUGAACACGGCCCCUGUGCAGAGAAGACAUACAAAUUUCAGAAGUGUUCUUUAUUUUA